UGGGGAAUAUUGCACAAUGGGCGAAAGCCUGAUGCAGCAACGCCGCGUGAGUGAUGAAGGCCUUCGGGUUGUAAAGCUCUGUCUUUUGGGACGAUAAUGACGGUACCAAAGGAGGAAGCCACGGCUAACUACGUGCCAGCAGCCGCGGUAAUACGUAGGUGGCAAGCGUUGUCCGGAUUUACUGGGCGUAAAGGAUGCGUAGGCGGAUUUUUAAGUGAGAUGUGAAAACCCUAAGCUUAACUUGGGGACUGCAUUUCAUACUGGAAAUCUAGAGUGCGGGAGAGGAGAAUGGAAUUCCUAGUGUAGCGGUGAAAUGCGUAGAGAUUAGGAAGAACACCAGUGGCGAAGGCGAUUCUCUGGACCGUAACUGACGCUGAGGCAUGAAAGCGUGGGUAGCAAACAGGAUUAGAUACCCUGGUAGUCCACGCCGUAAACGAUGAGUACUAGGUGUAGGAGGUAUCGACCCCUUCUGUGCCGCAGUUAACACAAUAAGUACUCCGCCUGGGAAGUACGAUCGCAAGAUUAAAACUCAAAUGAAUUGACGGGGUCAUAGCUGUUUU
rnacentral:rRNA from 1 species